AAGUCGUAACAAGGUAACCGUAGGUGAACCUGCGGUUGGAUCAUUACAAAGAUUCAAAACGUCGGCGGUCCUUCACCGGAACGCCCGGCGGCUCACUCUCGAGUGAGAUCAACAUACUGUGAACCGUACUCGUCUCUGGCGGCCGGGUGGCUUCAAAACCCACCUGUCAGCGCGAGCAAUCGCGCCGUGGACAACCCGCCAGCCACUUGUCAUACACAUUUUAUCUGUCUGAAACCUGUAUUUGCAAAACAAUACAAAAAAAACAACUUUUGGCAACGGAUCUCUUGGCUCUC
rnacentral:misc_RNA from 1 species